rnacentral:rRNA from 1 species
GAUCAGUAACUGGUCUGAGAGGACGAUCAGUCACACUGGAACUGAGACACGGUCCAGACUCCUACGGGAGGCAGCAGUGAGGAAUAUUGGUCAAUGGGGGCAACCCUGAACCAGCGACGCCGCGUGAAGGAUGACAGGGCUUUGCCCCGUAAAACUUCUGUCGGGAGGGAAAAAAGGACUGUUUGGCGGUCUGGGAUUGUACCUCUAAAGGAAGCACCGGCUAACUACGUGCCAGCAGCCGCGGUAAUACGUAGGGUGCAAAACGUUGUCCGGAAUUACUGGGUGUAAAGGGUGCACAGGCGGUUUUGUGCGUCAGAGGUAAAAUCCCACAGCUCAACUGUGGACCUGCCUUUGAUACGGCGAGACUUGAGUACAAGAGAGGAUGAUAGAAUUCCUGGUGUAGCGGUGAAAUGCGUAGAUAUCAGGAGGAAUACCAGUGGCGAAG